GGGAUUUAGCUCAGUGGCAUAAGCACCUGCCUUGCAAGCAGGCGGUCAUGAGUUCGAUCCCUUGUCCCA
rnacentral:tRNA from 1 species